AUUGAACGCUGUCGGCAGGCCUAACACAUGCAAGUCGAACGAGUGGCGGACGGGUGAGUAAUGUCUGGGAAACUGCCUGAUGGAGGGGGAUAACUACUGGAAACGGUAGCUAAUACCGCAUACCAUCAGAUGUGCCCAGAUGUGAUUAGCUAGUUGGGGGGGUAACGGCUCACAAAGGCGCCGAUCCCUAGCUGGUCUGAGAGGAUGACCAGCCACACUGAAACUGAGACACGGUCCAGACUCCUACGUGAGGCAGCAGUGGGGAAUAUUGCACAAUGGGCGCAAGCCUGAUGCAGCCAUGCCGCGUGUAUGAAGAAGGCCUUCGGGUUGUAAAGUACUUUCAGCGGGGAGGCGUGACACGAAGAAGAAGCACCGGCUAACUCCGUGCCAGCAGCCGCGGUAAGUG
rnacentral:rRNA from 1 species